CAUCAAAGUACAUUAUUUCUUUGACAAAGAAAAUUUUCCAACGUAGACUGAAACGAUAGGUACUAAUCCAAAAAAUGAGUACACUAAUCCCCUUAGGAAUUUUUUCAAUGGCCAUUUUAUUAGUCCAAACAAUGUGUCAUCUAUUUGUACCAGUCGAAACAGAAGUUCCUCAAAAUCAUCUAGACAGUUUCUCAGGUAAAACAGCAGACGACAAUCCCUUGAUUCUGCCAGGAUUUGACAUAAAACAGCUCGCCGAAUUCAAAAAUGGAAAAAAAUGUUGGAAAAGUCCCGAAAAUUACUCGGUUUGUUUGAAUAGAAACGAAUCGCUGGAAUGGCUUAGUUGGUCGAAUAGAAAAAAGCACAUUUACGUUGAAAUUGGAGCAUCAAAAAAUGGAGAUGUUACUCAGAACUGGAGAUUAGGGGACGAUAACGUCGAUAUUGUACUGAACAGGAAAACAGACGGUGAAAUUACACAGACUUGGAACUUGAAGGAUUCCAAACUAGAAUACUUUGUUGAUGGUCAGGAAAAAAUUCCAAGCAAGAAAUGGAUAGGUGAUUCCGAAUAUCCGGAAAUGGUAGAGAAUAUUAAAUCCUUCAUAGAUUCGUGGUGUGCGAAGUAUGGUUUUGUUUUUGGUAGAAGUGAUUGUAUUAUAUAUUGAACUAGAAAUAAGAGAGAUAGUUUCUCAAGGUUGACCAAGCAAUGUUAAAAUGAGUAAUGAAAAUUUUGACAAAUAAAAUUUUGAAAUAAAAGGUUAUUCACUGC